UUGAUUAUAAUAAAAUCAACUUUUCAAUUGGUUGUUAUAAUUUUUUAUCUGAGCGUUGCCCGAUGUGUGCAAAUCAUGUUACCUGAAUUGCACAUGUUUAAUUAGAAAUACCCCAUCCCAUAAUUCAUUUUACAAUUUUGCACUUCUGAAAAAUGGUAUAUGUUUGUGUUUAUAAAAUUCUUAAAUACACUUAUGGUCAGUAUUGGCCAGGUAGAUUAUUUUUAUUUUGAAGUUGUGAUUAUAUAGGAUUAUCAGAUAAAUAAAGAAUAUAUACAUAUUAACUAGAAAGGGAGUAUUUAUCCAGAUAUUUAAAGGCUUAGGCUUAUAUGCAUUUAUUAUAUACCUGUUUAAUGUUUUUAACAAAAUACAGGUUGUAUCAAUCGUUGAAAUGAAAAAUCCUGUAUUACGCUACUCGCUGUUUCCAAUUCCGUAUUACCAUACUAGAUGGACUGCUUUGACCCAUUUAAUGACGUCACAUUACACGCACCGAAAAUAGAAAUAUUUUAUAUUACGAAAUAUAUUACGAAGUAAACUGUGUGACGUCAUUUCUGUGACAAAACACAAUAGUUUUAUCUGAACUCUGUAACCAGGACAUGUUGGACGUGGUGUUUUUUAACAGUAAACUAUGUGUUAAAAACGUAUUUUGGAGUGUGUGUUUAUCAUGCAUAAAUGUAUAUUUCGAUAGGAAUACAAUAAAAUAGUGUGGUUUAAAGUAAGUUUCGAUAAAGACAUGAAAGUUAGAAGUGGAAGUGCAUAUCGUUUAAACGUUUUUGCAAAUCUGAUUAAAGUUGUCAACUUAAUUGUUAUAAAAAUUGGAUUAACGAUGGCAAUAAGAAAUUCAGCAGACGACAUAUUAGCAGAAGAUAAAUUUCCCAGCAUGCAAAGGGCUAACAGCGAGGGUGCCUUACAGACCAGCUUGGACUGCUGGACUUUCUAAUACUCAACUCACACUGGGACCAGAGACUUCCAAAUUCCAUAGCUUACACAAAGUCAUAUCAAGUCAAAUGUCUUCAUUUGAGAAAAACAAAAAGGUACUGGAUCGAGGCUGCAUGAGAAAUAAUUCAACAAUGGGAAAAUGAGUGCAGUUACUUCAAAAGGCAAAAGACCCCACCCUCAACUCAGAUUAUGGCAUCACUACCAGAUAUCAGGUUGAAAAUGCCAUUGAGAGCGUUUGUGCACUGUGCUGUUGAUAAUGCGGUUCUUUUUCUAACAAUUCUUUUUUUUUCAAAAUUGUCAUUUUCAAGAUUGGCAUUAUAUGUAGUGUUAAAGGGCAUACUAAUUCCCUAUAUUAUGCCAUCACAAUUUUUAGUAAUUUCAUUAAUGAAGCCAGUAUAGAAUUCAUGAGAACAUCUCAGGAACAUUCUGAAGAUCAGUGUGUAACAAGAAACAAGAAAACUGUAAAAUUAAAUUUUGUAUGUUAAUAAUUGCUGUACUUUGUUGCUAAUGUCAUUUUAUUCUAAUGUGUAUGAACAUAUAUUUAUCUUUUCAUUAUUCAUGAUCGCUGCACAUGUGUUGUGUUCAAAUUGGUUGUGUAUUUAAGUAAAACAAAUAGCAUAAGACAACUCUAUUUUAACUAGAUCUUUAGUUCCUUCCAUAUUGCAUGAAGCUAGAUAUGCAAUCGUCUUGUUGUAUAGUUCAAAUACAAAAUUGACUUCACAAUAAUGUACCUAUAACUUGACUUUAUUCAAAAUAAGCACUUGUUUUUUUUAACCAUUUAUAAAAAAGAUGUAGUUGUGAAAAUUCAGAAAAAAAGGGAUUAUAAUCAUCGGCGUCCGCAUGAAUUUUCCAAGGGGGGGUCAAGGAGGGAUCAGCCCCAUUUGCCGCCAGAGGCGUAGAAAAUUCUGAGAAUAAGGCCAGAUAUUGGUGAAUCAUGAAGUAUAUAUGGAAGAUUACAAAUCAGGAUUAACCCUUUCAGUGCUGGAACCGGAUUUUGAAGGCUUUUGCAAACAGUUUGGAUCCAGAUGAGACGCUACAGAAUGUGUCUUCUCAUCAGGAUCCAAACUGUUUGCUAUUGUGAUAGUGGACUUUGAGAAAAAGUGAAGAAAAUGAUGAUUUAAAAAAUUCAGCAGACAACAUUUUAGCAGACUACAAAUUUCCCAGCAUGCAAAGGGUUAAGAAUCAACUGUAUAUAUUGGAAUGGAUUAUACAUGUACCUAUUUUCUCUCAACUUUGAUUUCAGUGACUUUUCAUAUAGAAUUCACUCAAAAAGAUAUCUCAGGAACGGAGCAACCGUCUAUUGGACUGAGAUUUUUCGAUUAAGAGAAACGCAUCAUAAGAGAAGAGUGCCUGGAUUAACAGCACUUGAUGUAGUGGACACAGAAACUAUUGCAGGCACAAUCGUAUCACAGUGCAAAAAGUACGUUCUUAACGUAAACAAGCUACUCGGCCAAGGAUACGAUGCUUGACUAUUGCUGGAAAAGGAACAUGUUGUACAAGUCGGUAUUAAAUCCCAUUAUCCUCUGGCCAUUUUUGUACAUUGUUCUGCUCACCGUAUAAAUCUUGGUGUUAAUGAUCUAAGAUAAUAUGGCUAGUUCGGAACACACCAUUGUUAAGCGAAACAAGGUAGACUGCAAAGUAUAAACGCAUACAAAUCUAGGCUUCAAAAUACGCCGUCAGUAAGAAUAUUUCGCACAAAACAAACAGAAUUUGAAAGGACGACAGGCUGCACAUCAGCUAUGGACGGCAACUAGAACGGCGACAUUUGUCAUUUUGUGAUACUUACUAGCCAAAUAUUCGUCCAUUUUAGAGCCCAUUACGCAAGCACGUCAGACAGCUCAAUAAGAGAAAAUUAUGGACACAAUUUAUAUUCAGUACAUGGACUCACUGAUCCAGUCUUUAGGAAACCGAUUUUCAGAAUGUUAUAUGCCUGCGUUCAUGUUAUAUCAACUGCAUCGGAACCACAUUAAAAAUUUUGAUCGAUCAGACAUUACAGAUACAGUCCGAACCAUCAACGAAUUUUAUCGAAUCGAUAAUUUUGAACAAGACACAAUGUCAUUGUAUGUCAUGAGCAAGAAGAAAUCACUUGAACAGAAUAAGUCAGCUUGUGUUGACUUGGUAAUAAAAAUGGUUAUGUUUCCAGCCGUGCGUGAGGCGAUGAACAUAUUACUAGCGCUGAGUCAAGAGUCAAGAGUCAAGACAUGGCUAAGAUACACCAUGUCCGAUCAGACAGGCUCUCAUGAUUAUUCAUGAUGAGCGUUCAAAGGGAACGCAUGAACACAGACAAGAAUAUGUUCAUACAAAAAACCAUCAUGAUGUUCAGCAGAGACAACUUCGCCUUCACUUCCUAUUCAGGAACUGAAUAAAUGUUAAUUGUUUAAAUUUUCACCUCGACCUCGCACAAAUUAAUCAUGUUUAUUACAAUCUAUUGAGAGGAAGUAAAUUUUGCAAUAACCAUAUCCAUGAUUGGUUUGAAUGUAAAUGGGAGUUGUUGUUCGUGUGAAACUAACAAGGGGUCAUUCUGAUCAAAAUUGUUCAAUUCAGGAAUCAUAAUUUACAGUUUAGAUUUUUCCAGGGGGGGGGGGGUUAGCUGACCCCAUGUGCCCAUAUGUGCGGACGCCCAUGAUUAUAAUGCAAAGUAAAUAAAUAUAAUUAAGUUAGUUUAAACAUUUUUAUGAAGGAAGGUAAAUAGGAUGUCAACUUCAAUGUUGUAUAGUUGAGUUAUCUUUCUUGAAUAAAUACUUAUUGAGUAAUUGAUAUGCAUUUUUAAGUUGUCUGUGUUGCAAAACAAUAUUCAAAAUUGUACACAGUUGAAUGAUUAUAGAAUGAUUAAUAGAGAAGGUAGUCUGCAAUUAAAAGUAAAUUGAUAUCUUUGCAAUUCAAGUAACUUGACCUCUUUUCUUGUUAUUUAUAUUAUAAAUCAUUGAUGAUAAAAUUGAUUUGUAUUCAGUUGUCAAAGUGUAAAAUGGUUAUAUACAAUAAUAGUUGAAAUUAGAUUCUUGAUUAUACAAAAUAUCCAUGUACUUACAGGGACGUAAAGUUUGUGUAUAUAUCUAUGUAUUGAUUUAAUGAAUCGAGUACUCUUAUCUAGUAAAUUUGAGAAGGUAUGUAUAGUAAAAGGUAAAUGUAUGCAAGUCAGAAGUAUGACUAUCAGUUUCAUAUGUAUAGUAACAGGUAUAUGUAUGCAAGUCAUUAGUAUGACUAUCAGUUUCAUAUGUAUAGUAACAGGUAUAUGUAUGCAAGUCAUUAGUAUGACUAUCAGUUUCAUAUGUAUAGUAACAGGUAUAUGUAUGCAAGUCAUUAGUAUGACUAUCAGUUUCAUAUGUAUGGUAACAGGUAUAUGUAUGCAAGUCAUUAGUAUGACUAUCAGUUUCAUAUGUAUGGUAACAGGUAUAUGUAUGCAAGUCAGAAGUAUGACUAUCAGUUUCAUAUGUAUGGUAACAGGUAUAUGUAUGCAAGUCAUUAGUAUGACUAUCAGUUUCAUAUGUUGGUCAGUUUCAUAUGUAUGGUAACAGGUAUAUGUAUGCAAGUCAUAAGUAUGACUACCAGUUUCAUAUGUAUAGUAACAGGUAUAUGUAUGCAAGUCAUUAGUAUGACUAUCAGUUUUAUAUGUAUGGUAACAGGUAUAUGUAUGCAAGUCAUAAGUAUGACUAUCAGUUUCAUAUGUAUGGUAACAGGUAUAUGUAUGCAAGUCAUUAGUAUGAUUAUCAGUUUUAUAUGUAUGGUAACAGGUAUAUGUAUGCAAGUCAUAAGUAUGACUAUCAGUUUCAUAUGUAUGGUAACAGGUAUAUGUAUGCAAGUCAUUAGUAUGACUAUCAGUUUCAUGAUAAAAACCAUGGAUGAGAUAAGUUAUUAAAAGAAUUGUAAUUAUGCAUCCAUUUAUAUUUCCUUUGUAAUUGAUAUUUUUACAUUUUAAAUUUCAUUCUAUAAACAAUAAUGUUGUGGUUAUUUGGAAUUGAAGUAUAAAUUUGUUGAAUUGUUGUUGGCAAUAAUUAAACAUGUAUCACAAAUCAGUAACAAUUUGCAUUGUUAUUGACAUAUUUUAGACUAAAUGGUAUUGAGAAUUCAAAAUGUAAUAGUCUUUAAUAUUUAAGUAUACUUCUCGAAGUGUUCAUUAUUAAUUGAUACUAUUUAGAACUGUCUAUUUAGUCAGUUGAUGGAAAUAGGCUGUAUACCCAUCAAAGGUGGGGAGAAUGUUCAGUAGAGAACUAGAAUUUAUGUGGUUAAAUGUUACCUUAAUCUAUUGAAAAAGGUGCAGUAAAAAUCGAGCAUGAUAGGUUUAGUGAAAUCGAAAACGUGUUUUGUCAUCCAAAAAUUACAAAGAAAGUAAAGUAUAUAUUUGUUUUUAGGACAAUUAAAAGUGUAAAUCGAUCACCCAUGUCAUCUUUAGACAGUGGCAAACAGAGAUUCUCGUAAGCAUUCAAAUGAAGAGCGUCAUAAACUUGUUUAACUCUUUCAGUGCUGGAACCACAUUUUGAAGGCCUUGCAAACAGUUUGGAUCCAGAUAAGACACAACAGAAUGUGGCGUCUCAUCAGGAUCCAAACUGUUUGCUAUUCUGAUAGUAUUCUUUGAAAAAAAAUCUAAAAAAAUGCUAAUUUUAGAAAUUCAGCAGACGACAUUUUAGCAGACAACAAAUUAUCCAGCAUGCAAAGGGUUAACUUAUUACUAUUGUUAAAUCCUGAACAAACAGUAAAUCACUGUUAUAAUUGUUAUAUCGCUGUUAUAACUGUAUGCAUUUAAGAAAAUAUUUUCCAAAAGCUUAUGUGUCCAAAAAUUCUUGUUCAAGUUAUUCCAGAAAUUUUAAAUUAACAAAUUGUGUCAUUUUAUUUAGUUUCUUCUGUUUUCUGGUACUUGCGCUGGUUAUUACAAUCCUAUUGUGUCUAGUCAUAACAAUGAACACAUAUUUUUUUAUUUCUUUAUUAUUUUAUUGCUGUUUCCUAUACAUUUAGUCAUAAUAUUACAAUUGUAUACAUGUAUCAUGUAUAUAACAGUGCAUGAAGAAAAAUAUAUUAACACACAA